rnacentral:rRNA from 1 species
CAGCCGCCACGGUAAUACGAAGGGGGCUAGCGUUGUUCGGAGUUACUGGGCGUAAAGGGAGCGUAGGCGGACAUUUAAGUCAGGGGUGAAAUCCCAGAGCUCAACUCUGGAACUGCCUUUGAUACUGGGUGUCUUGAGUGUGAUAGAGGUAUGUGGAACUCCGAGUGUAGAGGUGAAAUUCGUAGAUAUUCGGAAGAACACCAGUGGCGAAGGCGACAUACUGGAUCAUUACUGACGCUGAGGCUCGAAAGCGUGGGGAGCAAACAGGAUUAGAUACCCCAGUAGUCCCUGUCUCUUAUAC